CUAACUUCCCAAAUUGUGGCUAAGAUCAAGUGUAGUAUUUGUUCUGAUCAGUUUAAUAUCUGAUACGUCCCCUAUCUGGGGACCAUAUAUUAAAUGGAUUUUUGUAACAGGGAGAUUGAAGAAGAGCUUGCUCUGUCCACUCCACGCAUUGACCUGAUCUAAUUUGCCUUUUUGCCUCCAUU